UAAAUAGGUCCUUGUUACAAAAGCUGAAGAUAUACAUCCCUAAAUCUUGCUUUAGAAGUUCCACAUGUACAGUUUGUCACCACCAAAAUCCCCAAUGAUAGCAUCUUCCCCAUUUCAGGCUGUGAAUGCUGAGAUGGUUCGAGAAGUGUGUACCAAAUACAUUUAUGAUAAAAGUCCAGCUAUUGCUGCUGUUGGUCCUAUUGAGAGGUUACCAGAUUUUAACCAGAUUCGUAGUAACAUGUGCUGGGUGUGCAACUAAAAUUGUUGUAACAGAAUAUUUUGACCAUAUAUACUUGGAAAACUAAGAUCUGAAAGUUUUUUUUUAAAAAAAGCUGUCAGUUCCCAAAGGAAAAAAUAAAAUGAAUGUGUUCAGAA